AUGGAGUUAGCCGAUGUAGACAACAGCCCCAUCCGGUCCUGCAGCCAUCCCGGCGCUGGUGGAAGUGAUACCCGCCCUGCCCUGAAGGUGCUGGGUCCCUCCAGUGCAGAGCUGGACCAGGGGAAGGCCACGCUCAUGUGUGUGGCCAACAAGGGCUUCCCCUCAGACUGGAGUCUGUCCUGGAAGACGAGCGACAGCAGUGGCAGCAGCAGCAUCAGAGGGGAGGAGAGCAGGACUCCUGGAGUGCUGCAGAAUGACGGCCUCUACAGCUGGAGCAGCACCCUGACGCUCACUGCAGACCAGUGGGGGAAGGUGGGCUCUGUGACCUGUGAGGCCACCCAGGGCUCCCAGACUCUGGUCUCAGAGAUACUGAGGAGAGACCAGUGUUCCCAGUCCUGA